rnacentral:rRNA from 1 species
UACGUAGGGUGCAAGCGUUAAUCGGAAUUACUGGGCGUAAAGCGUGCGCAGGCGGUUUUGUAAGUCUGACGUGAAAUCCCCGGGCUUAACCUGGGAAUUGCGUUGGAGACUGCAAGGCUGGAGUCUGGCAGAGGGGGGUAGAAUUCCACGUGUAGCAGUGAAAUGCGUAGAUAUCGAGAGGAACACCAGUGGCGAAGGCGAGUCCCUGGACAACACCUGACACUGAGGCACGAAAGCUAGGGGAGCAAACAGG